AUAUGGGAGCGUGGAGCUGGCUGGGGGAGAGGUGUAGGAAUACAAACAGAAGCUUGCGCGAGUAACCCAGGUCCGCAAGGAACUGAAAUCCCAUAUUCAGAGCUUGCCAGACCUCUCACUGCUGCCCAACGUCACAGGGGGCUUAGCCCCCCUGCCCUCUGCUGGGGACCUGUUUUCAACUGACUAGGAUGGGUGUCAUGUCCCAGAUUUCUGUUUGUACCAGCAGAAAGAAGAGGGCAAGUCAUGGUUGGAAAUAACCUUCUAGCCCCUGGUUCUAUCCCUUCUUCCGCCCAGCCCCCCAGCCUCAAGAAAGAACCUCAGACUCUGAUUCUCCUCUUCAGCCUCUCAUCUUGAGCACAGUUCAGAACAGUGGCGACUGGAAUCUGGUUUAUAUUCAUAUUUGCAAAGACUACAGACUUUUUCUCCCACUUCAUAUUUUCAUGCCCCCCUGUUGGUUUUCCAUUCUUAACUGUCUCCUUAUACCCAAGAAGUUAAGAAAAUCAUGUGUACUUCUGGAAGCUUUCAAAAGAAUCUUGUCCCUCAUGACAGCAUUUUGUCAUGAAAGCAGCUU
rnacentral:sRNA from 1 species